rnacentral:rRNA from 1 species
UACGUAGGGUGCGAGCGUUGCCCGGAUUUAUUGGGCGUAAAGCGUUCGCAGGUGGUUCGUUGCGUCGUGCGUGAAAGACCCCGGCUCAACUGGGGGAUGUCGUGCGAUACGGGCGGAUUGGAGGCCAGUAGGGGGAGUGCGGAAUUCCGGGUGUAGUGGUGGAAUGCGUAGAGAUCCGGAGGAACACCAGCGGCGAAGGCGGCAUCCUGGACUGGUCCUGACACUCAGGAGCGAAAGCGUGGGGAGCGAGUCGG